CUGAACAUCAGGCACUCAGGGGUCCCGGUCCACGCACCGCCGCCCGGACGAGGUCUGGGUCCCGGGCACCGGACCACCACCCUGACAGUUUUUAAGAUGGAAUCUACAGGAUUUGGCAACAUAUUGGAUGUGAGGCUCAAAGGUGAGGCCAGAAUCAAGUAUGACGCCAAGACAGUGUGCCUGCAAGGAUGGACUGAUGUGGGUACCACAAACUUGAAGGGAGAGCGAAAGAGGAGGGUCAGUAUUAGGAGGAGGAAAGACAAUGAGCUCAGUUUUAGAAAGAGUGAGUUUCAGAAAGUGGGAGGACAUCCAGUCAGAGAUGG